AAUGAACGCUGGCGGCGCGCCUAAUACAUGCAAGUCGAGCGAGAAGACGUAGCAAUACGUUUGUAAAGCGGCGAACGGGUGAGGAAUACAUGGGUAACCUACCCUCGAGUGGGGAAUAACUAGCCGAAAGGUUAGCUAUACCGCGUACGCUCCUUGGACUUCGGUUCAGGGAGGAAAGCGAUACCGUGGGUAUCGCGCUCUUGGUUGGGCUCAUGUCCUAUCAGCUUGUUGGUGAGGAACGGCUCACCAAGGCUUCGGACGGGUAGCGUGGUCUGAGAGGACGAUCAGCCACACUGGCA
rnacentral:rRNA from 1 species